rnacentral:rRNA from 1 species
GACGAACGCUGGCGGCGCGCCUAACACAUGCAAGUCGAACGAGCGAGAGAGAGCUUGCUUUCUCGAGCGAGUGGCGAACGGGUGAGUAACGCGUGAGGAACCUGCCUCAAAGAGGGGGACAACAGUUGGAAACGACUGCUAAUACCGCAUAAGCCCACGACCCGGCAUCGGGUAGAGGGGAAAGGAGCAAUCCGCUUUGAGAUGGCCUCGCGUCCGAUUAGCUAGUUGGUGAGGUAACGGCCCACCAAGGCGACGAUCGGUAGCCGGACUGAGAGGUUGAACGGCCACAUUGGGACUGAGACACGGCCCAGACUCCUACGGGAGGCAGCAGUGGGGAAUAUUGCACAAUGGGGGAAACCCUGAUGCAGCGACGCCGCGUGGAGGAAGAAGGUCUUCGGAUUGUAAACUCCUGUUGUUGAGGAAGAUAAUGACGGUACUCAACAAGGAAGUGACGGCUAACUACGUG